UACGGGGGGUGCGAGCGUUGUCCGGAAUUACUGGGCGUAAAGCGUGCGCAGGCGGUUUGCUAAGACAGGUGUGAAAUCCCCGGGCUUAACCUGGGAACUGCGCUUGUAACUGGCAAGCUAGAGUGUGGCAGAGGGGGGGUGGAAUUCCACGUGUAGCAGUGAAAUGCGUAGAGAUGUGGAGGAACACCGAUGGCGAAGGCAGCCCCCUGGGCUAACACUGACGCUCAUGCACGAAAGCGUGGGGAGCAA
rnacentral:rRNA from 1 species